rnacentral:rRNA from 1 species
ACGAACGCUGGCGGCGUGCUUAACCCAUGCAAGUCGAACGGUGAAGCGCCUUCCUUUUUGGUGGGUGUGGAUGAGUGGCGAACGGGUGAGUAACACGUGAGUAACCUGCCCCCUUCUUCUGGAUAACCGCAUGAAAGUGUGGCUAAUACGGGAUAUUCUGGGUCUGUCGCAUGAUGGGUCUGGGAAAGAUAUUGUUUCGGUGGGGGAUGGGCUCGCGGCCUAUCAGCUUGUUGGUGGGGUGAUGGCCUACCAAGGCGGUGACGGGUAGCCGGCCUGAGAGGGUGGACGGUCACACUGGGACUGAGACACGGCCCAGACUCCUACGGGAGGCAGCAGUGGGGAAUAGUGCACAAUGGGCGCAAGCCUGAUGCAGCGACGCCGCGGGAGGGAUGGAGGCCUUCGGGUUGUGAACCUCUUUCGCCAGUGAAGCAGGCCUGCCUCGUUUGUGGGUGGGUUGACGGUAGCUGGAUAAGAAGCGCCGGCUAACUACGUG